rnacentral:lncRNA from 1 species
CCAGUACUUCCCUUUGCUUUCAUAUUUCUCUUUGUUAUAAAGCUCCAAUUCUGUAAACAAUGCUAUACACUUUUCUGAAUUAUCUGUGAAUAUUAGAUGCAUCUCCAAUCCUUAUUGAGGAUGUUCAGCAGCAUCCGUGGGUUUUUAAACAAACUAGGGCAACACAGUCAAGUUCUAACCAAUACCAAACACUUAAGUCCAUCUGAUUAUUGAAGUUUUCAACAUUCUCAUCCUGGCUUCACUGAACGGAGCAAUGGAGAGAUCACUGGCUCUCAUAGUGCUCAACUGAUAAAGACAGUUGCAUGCAGUGAAAUGUUCUGUCUUAUUUAGUGGCUUCCAAGCAUUGAUCUGAUCCCCAUGUGUCUUGCUACUUAUUGGAGCAAAGCAAGGAGGCUCUCCUCCAACUAGGAAUCCCUUCCCACAUUUCCUCUCAUCAACAGUGUUGGAAGCCAGACACAUGAGCUCUCAGCAAGCCAGUGCUCCACACUGUGCUCCCUCCACAUCACUGUGCUCCCUCCACACUACUGUGCUCCCUCCACACUGUGCUCCCUCCACACUGUGCUCCCUCCACAUCACUGUGCUCCUUCCACACUGUGCUCCCUCCACAUCACUGUGCUCCCUCCACACUGUGCUCCCUCCACACCACUGUGCUCCCUCCACAUCACUGUGCUCCCUCCACAUCACUGUGCUCCCUCCACACUACUGUGCUCCCUCCACACUGUGCUCCCUCCACACUGUGCUCCCUCCACAUCACUGUGCUCCCUCCACAUCACUGUGCUCCCUCCACAUCACUGUGCUCCUUCCACACUGUGCUCCCUCCACACUGUGCUCCCUCCACACUGUGCUCCCUCCACAUCACUGUGCUCCUUCCACACUGUGCUCCCUCCACAUCACUGUGCUCCCUCCACAUCACUGUGCUCCUUCCACACUGUGCUCCCUCUACACUGUGCUCCCUCCACACUGUGCUCCCUCCACAUCACUGUGCUCCCUCCACAUCACUGUGCUCCCUCCACAUCACUGUGCUCCUUCCACACUGUGCUCCCUCCACACUGUGCUCCCUCCACACUGUGCUCCCUCCACAUCACUGUGCUCCCUCCACAUCACUGUGCUCCCUCCACACUGUGCUCCCUCCACACUGUGCUCCCUCCACAUCACUGUGCUCCCUCCACAUCACUGUGCUCCCUCCACAUCACUGUGCUCCUUCCACACUGUGCUCCCUCAACACUGUGCUCCCUCCACACUGUGCUCCCUCCACAUUACUGUGCUCCCUCCACACUGUGCUCCCUCCACACAGUCCUCUCUGCUCUGUGGACUGGGCUUUGCCUGGGCAUUUUCUCACAAUAAGAUGAUAUCACAACACACAAAGGAUUGAGGAUGGUUUCAAGAAGUCUUUUCAAUUCCUUCUCCUACUCCUCUAAUCUCUACCCCCUUCCAAAAUCUCAGCAAACUUCCUUUUAGUUUUGGAGGUAAAACUGCCAUCCAUGCACAGUAUUCUUUUCCUGCCUCCUACUGCUACCUCAGUGGUGGACCACCUCUAUUGUAAAUGUGAAACACCUGGUGGACUUACAGCCUUGGGAAAACAGUGCAGUACUUUUCAAAGUUAACAUAGCAUUUUAGCUUCACAUAACUGUCAUUAUUACUUUAUUCUGUAAAGUCGGACUUAUCUCCUCUCUCUGUUGUCUGUGCUUUGUAAAUGCUGUUGGUGACGAUGGUUUUGUCCUUGACAAACCUGCACAGGGCCCUCCAGCUAACCAAUCCCAACUUCACACUCAGUGGUGACAUCAUACUGUUGGCUUUCUUCAUCCCCCUCCCCCAUCUUCCCUAUGUUACUGUCAAGUGGCGUCUCUCCUUUAUUUCAGAGUUCUCCUUGCUCUCCCUGCAAACAUCUGGCAUUCUUUAAAUGCCUUAGAAAAAGCAUUCAUUCUCGUUAAUUUCAGCCUCCUGGCGUGUAAUAUGAAAGGGAUAAAAAUGGUCACUACUUCCCAGACAUGAUGAAAUGAUUGAAUAAGCUGAUAUAUGUGAAGAAUGCACACUUCUCCAGCAUCCCCGGGAGUCACUUAAGCACUGUCAGCCGUGUUCAGGAAGUCCACUCUGACUUAGCUCUCUCCCUGCAUGACGCUGCCUCCCCUGGCGCAGCCUGCAUAUAGUUAUCAGCAUGUAGUAACGGCCGGUCACUCACUGACCAGCUAAGUGCCAUUUGCUGAGUGGUUUAGCAUUUUAGUAACCCAGACAAUAGGAAGAGUGCUGCAUGCUUAACAAUCCAUACUGGUCUACAUUUUAUCAAUUCAUACUGGUCUACAUUUUAUCAUAUGUGAGUAUAUGAUUUUGAUCAUAAACUCCUCCUUUCCCCACAACUCUCCACUGUCCUCUCCAUAUAUUUCCUUUCAAAUGCAUGUCUUGUUAAUAUACAUAUGCAUUGAAUAUACA